rnacentral:rRNA from 1 species
GAUGAACGCUGGCGGUAUGCUUUACACAUGCAAGUCGAACGAGAAUUUUGAUUGCUUGCAAUCAAAAUUUUAGUGGCGAACGGGUGAGUAACGCGUAAGAAUCUGCCCUCAGGAAGGGGAUAACAAUGGGAAACUAUUGCUAAUACCCUAUAAGCGCAUGCGUAAAAGCUUUCGGGCACCUGAGGAUGAGCUUGCGUCUGAUUAGCUUGUUGGUGAGGUAAUGGCUCACCAAGGCAAUGAUCAGUAGCUGGUCUGAGAGGAUGAUCAGCCACACUGGGACUGAGACACGGCCCAGACUUCUACGGGAGGCAGCAGUGGGGAAUUUUCCGCAAUGGGCGAAAGCCUGACGGAGCAAUACCGCGUGGAGGAUGACGGCCUAUGGGUUGUAAACUCCUUUUUUCUUUUGAGAAGAAGUUCUGACGGUAUCAAAGGAAUAAGCAUCGGCUAACUCCGUGCCAGCCGCCGCGGUAA